GGCUCAGAACGAACGCUGGCGGCGUGCCUAACACAUGCAAGUCGAACGCGAAAGGGGGCAACCCCCGGUAGCGUGGCAGACGGGUGAGUAACGCGUGGGCAACCUGCCCGGAGGUGGGGGAUAACCCUUCGAAAGGAGGGCUAAUACCGCAUGACAUCCCGGGGUCCUCGGACCCUGGGCUCAAAGCUGGCCUCUGUUUACAAGCCAGCGCCACCGGAUGGGCCCGCGUCCCAUUAGCUAGUUGGUGAGGUAACGGCCCACCAAGGCUACGAUGGGUAGCCGGCCUGAGAGGGCGAUCGGCCACACUGGAACUGAGACACGGUCCAGACUCCUACGGGAGGCAGCAGUGAGGAAUCUUGCGCAAUGGGCGAAAGCCUGACGCAGCGACGCCGCGUGGAGGAUGAAGGCCUUCGGGUCGUAAACUCCUGUCGAGCGGGACGAAUGCCGGGAGGGUUAACAGCCUUUCCGGUUGACGGUACCGCUGGAGGAAGCCCCGGCUAACUCCGUGCCAGCAGCCGCGGUAAUACGGAGGGGGCCAGCGUUGUUCGGAAUUAUUGGGCGUAAAGGGCGCGUAGGCGGCUGCUCAAGUCGGACGUGAAAUCCCUCGGCUCAACCGGGGAACUGCGUCCGAUACUGUGCGGCUUGAGUCCCGGAGAGGGUAGUGGAAUUCCCAGUGUAGCGGUGAAAUGCGUAGAUACUGGGAGGAACACCGGUGGCGAAGGCGGCUACCUGGACGGGUACUGACGCUGAUGCGCGAAAGCCAGGGGAGCAAACAGGAUUAGAUACCCUGGUAGUCCUGGCUGUAAACGAUGGGCACUUGGUGUUGCGGGUAUCGACCCCUGCAGUGCCGAAGCUAACGCAUUAAGUGCCCCGCCUGGGGAGUACGGUCGCAAGGCUGAAAACUCAAU
rnacentral:rRNA from 1 species